rnacentral:lncRNA from 1 species
GAAUCCUCUAGCUCCCGUUACCGAAGCCGGGAAGACAGAGGUUCUCCAAGCAGAGUGCAUCGACGAUAGAUUGGCAGUUCCUCUGGAGACAUGAUUGGUUGGUUGAGGUUUCAGGACUUGUUAUUGUGAAUACUGUUCCAUGGUUUCUCCAGAUUGCAAUGGCCCCAGGCAUGUGAGUCAUGACCCAAUUCCUUCAAAGAUGAAUUGAGCGAGCAUGCUGUUGAUAUGGACGCCUAACUUGAAAGCUGUUGUGCCAUUGGCUCAUUCGCACUGCCACUGCCACAGCCUUGAUCGAGCCCAUGGCUCCCGCUAGGCUGAGGAAUGGAGUGG